rnacentral:lncRNA from 1 species
ACAUAGGUGUAUAGCGCAUACACGCAUACACACGCACACACAUAGAUAAGUAAGUAAAUGUAAGUUUUAAGGAUGUUUUAAAACUUAAAACACGGCCCAGCGGCGGCAGCGCAUGCCUUUAAUCUCCAGCACUUGGGAGGCAGAGAUGGAUGGGUCUUUGAAUUCAAGGCCAGCCUGGUCUACAGACAGAGUUCCAACACAGCUACUACACAGAGAAACCCUGUCUCCAAAAACCCAAAACCAACCAAAAGUGUGCUCAGUGGCAGAGCUCUUUCUUACCUAGCAAGAGAGAGGGUGUGAGCACAGUCCCAAAGGAGCCAAUCAAGUGAGGGGGCAGAGUAAAAAGCAAACGGGGGUUGGGGCUGGAGAGGUGGCUCCGGGACUAAGAGCUUGUGGCUAUUUCAGAGAACUCCGAUUCAGUUCCAGCACCCACAUCGGGCACGCUAUAACUACCAGUAACUCCAGCUACAGGGGAUGUAACGCCCUCUUCUGGCACUCAUGCGCACACAGGCACACAAGUACACAUAUGAAAAGUAAAGUACAAGUAUUCUGUUUUUAUUAUGUGCAUGUAUGUGUGUGCACGUGAGCAUAGGUGGCCAAGGAGGCUGGCUGGUGGCUUCAGAUCCCCUGGUCCUGGAGUUAUGGCUGUCUGGGAGCUGCCUGACUGGGAGCUGAACUCACAUCCUUUGAAAGAUCACUGUGUGCUCUCAAGCACCAAGCUGAGUCCAGCCUUAAGAUUUGUUUUCCAGACCCAACCCCCAAAGCUGUGCUCUGGCCUCCACACACGUGAACACACUCACAACUCAAAUCCAGACAGGAUGAGACUUGGGUGGAGAAAUGACAGACCUUCUUCACAUCCAACUUGUUGGAAAGGAAAGCAAGAGGAUCUAUACGUAGAAUGUAAAGCUGUAAAACUCCUCCAAAUACACAGAAAGACCUAGGUCAUCUUGGGCUGGGAAUGACCUCAAAGCAAGAUAUACCAACAAAAGUACAGUCCUCAGAAGAGGGCUCGGGGCUAAAGAGAUGGCUUAGCAGUUAAGAGUACCAACUGGGGUUGGGGAUUUAGCUCAGUGGUAGAGCACUUGCCUAGCAAGCGCAAGGCCCUGGGUUCGGUCCCCAGCUCCGAAAAAAAAAAAAAGAAAAGAAAAAAAAAAGAGUACCAACUGCUCUCUUUUAGAGGUCCUGAGUUCAAGUCCCAGCAAUCAAAUGGCAUCUUACAAGCAUCUACAAUGGGAUCUGAUGCCCUCUUCUGGUGUGCAGGCACACAUGCAAGCAGAACACUUAUAUACAAAAAUAAAUAAAUUUAAAAAAAAAAAAACAAACA